rnacentral:lncRNA from 1 species
UUUUCCGCUCGCAUAAAGCAGCCAUCCAUAUAAAUUCGCGCUCCGUUAUAAGGGAAGCACUGAGGAAGCAGGGUUCGCGCUUCAGCGUAGCAUAAGACAAAGUCGAGUAAAGAAAGAUCGCCAUAGCAUUGUCCAAGCCCAUAGGUACUAUCUGGGCUUGUGCCAGUAAUUGCUACUCCAUAUCCUCUAGUUCUCAUUUGUUCACUUAAAAGUUCCAUUGUACCGAUAAAAUUUUGGAUGGGAACUGUUGUUUCAUUUCCACAUAUGAUCUGGAGUAUCUGAGAUCUUGGUUCAGCCACCGAUAUAUCGGGUAGAAGUAGAACCAACACGAUAACAAUGAGACUACAUAAAAUCGAAGGGGAUGGUACAACAUAGAAAACAAUGUGACCGAACUAAUUAAAAACUUGGAAAGAUACUAAUUUGCGAAUUAUUAAUACAACUUUCCAUCACUGCUAAUCGUUGUCGCUGCUAACAUUAUCAACUACCACCAUCCAUCACUCACAAUCACGAUCGCUAACCAUCAUCUACGAUCAUCACCACCAACCAUGUAUUACCACAACAACCACCAAUCACUACCGACAAUCACCAUCAUCAAUCACCACUAUAUGACUCCAACCACUGCAAUCAGUCAUCAUCAACCAUUAUCUACCACCAUCCAUCACUCACAGCCACGAUCGCUAACCAUCAUUUAUGAUCAUCACCACUAACCAUGUAUUACCACAACAAUCACCAAUCACUACAGACAAUCACCAUCAUCAAUCACCACUAUAUGACUCCAACCACUGCAAUCAGUCAUCAUCAACCAUUGUACCACCAACUUCCAUCAUAAUUAACCACUACUGGUAGCACAGAUAAAGUUAGGAUUUUGAGUUUAUGAAUUCUUGAUUCUAUAACAAAAACUUACAUAUACAUAUCGGCCAAACACAAACUGCUUCUCGUAAAAGUACUUUCUUGAAAAAUACUUCUCAAAAUAAGCUGAUUUUUAGAACUUUGACCAAACAGUAUAAUAAUCUUAGUGAAAACAAACCAAGAACAAAACAAGAAACACUCACAAAGUCCUGAGGACCACUGAAAGGUCUGAAAGAGAGAGAUGGCCAACACAAACUGAUCAGAACCUGCUGUCAAAGUUGUUGAAACACAGUGAUGAUGAGGCAUAGAGAAAAUGAAGGAACAAUUAAGAAAUGAACUAUUUUAUUGAUGAAUACUAUCAAACUGAAAAUGAUAUGAAUGGCUUUGUCAAUGAGUCAUAUUGACAGAAAAGUCAUGUUUGGUGUUCCUAAUCCAGUGUCUAGUGUGGCGGUAUCUACAUUAAAGUCCGACUAAAUUCGAAUUUAUAUUGAGAAUUUCUACGCUGAGCGUAAAACAUUUCCCAAUGAAAACGAUUUUAUAGUCAAAGAGGCUUAAAGUCGAAACAUCUAAUUAAGAAUGAAAGAGUAAUUAUCACUCCGAGGCAGAAGUCAACGGGAAAUAGUUGUGUUAGAAUAUGUUUUUUCAAACUGAACAAGUAUUGUUACGCCAGGGACCUACGUUUUACGCCAAAGGCUUACGUCCCAAAUUUUAAGGGUUAUGCCCUAUGAAUCUACGCCUUUCAUUUUGGCCCAGAGCAUCUUUGGUACACCCCGCCUCGAGACUCGCCCCGGAACUGCCUAUGAAAACACAGAUUGAUUGCUAGACUUCUUUAUAAAGUUGUUACAAGGCUUUCCAGGAAACUGCUAGUUAUCUGCCAACAUGAGUUAUUUAAUAUUAGCAUUGGAAAAACAUUGUGCAUUGUUUGCAGAUUUCUUUCUAUGCAAGUAUUUACAGUUUUACACACACAUCAAUCAUGAGUUGAGCUGAAUGGAUUAAUGAGGAUGCAUAUAGCCGAUCUCAAUUUGUUUGGAACCGAGGCAUGGUUGUUGUUGCUGUAUCUAACAGCUUCCUCAAGAAGACGAGGAGAACUGAUGCUUAUAAUUUAGGCAUAAUACACAAACAGACGCCCAAACUUGACCUCAGCUAAAACGUAAGCACUCUAACUUUGAGAAUGCACGUCUAGAUAUCCUCCAACUCAUCCCGAGUGUGUUUCGUGGAGACAAGUUGAGGUGUCUAGAUGUGCAGGCUCGAUGUUGGAGUAUUUAGUUGCAACUGAGGCCUAUUUAAAGCGUCUAUCUAUGUAUUAUGCCUAUAAUUUAUAAUCAUCUGGGGUAAAAAGAACUGUGAGAUAAGUUGGCAGUUGUAGCAGAAUCGCCUUGUUCAAGCGAGCGGUAAUGAAGUUGCAUGGUUUUCUCAUCCACAAAUGGCGGCUUAGUAGGACGAGGCAACUCUUCGUCGUUCUUGACAAACAUCUGUAAUGCCUUAGACAUGGAUGGUCGAAGCAUCGGAAUCUCUUGAGUGCACAAAAGUCCGACAUGUAAGAAUCUCGUAACCUCAUGUUUCACAUUGAUGGUGUGGUUGUUCUGCAACAUUAAAUUUGGAUCGAAUAUUUCCUCCACUGUCCCGUGUUGAAAAUGUUCCCACGCCUGUUAAUAUCAUCCAGUAAAGUUAAGAUCAACGAACAAAAAUUCUUUUCGAAAUAUGGCUCAAGAGACAAGUGAUUGAUCAGAAAUUACAGUGGAAAGCAAGCUGACUGUAUAUACGGCGUUGUUUCUCUGGUUACUUUGUCUUCCAGUAACAAUCUCUAGUAGAAGAACUCCAAAGCUGUAAACGUCUGCCUUUUCCGUUAACUGACCCCGUGCUAAGUAUUCUGGUGCCAUAUAUCCUCUGAAUAUGAAGCGUAAACAAUCCAUUAUUGGACCAUAUUAGUCUUUUUGUGUCCUUUUACGCAAUAAAAUUAGAAGAUGAGAUGAAGAAACACUAACAAUGUGCCAGCAAGAGCAGUGCUUAUGUGACUUUUGUCAUCGUGGAAUGACCUGGCCAACCCAAAAUCAGCAAUCUUUGCACGGAACCUCGAGUCCAACAGGAUAUUGCUGGCUUUUAUAUCUCUGUGAAUUAUUCGAGUCUUUGUGUUCUCGUGAAGGUAUAUCAAUCCUUCUGCUGUCCCUAUAAUUAUCUCAAAUCUUUUCUCCCAGUUCAGAUCUCUACCUUUGAUAGGGUCUGUCGAAAACACACCAUCGAGUCGUAAAGAAAAGUCGGUUUUCACUUUGAUUUUUAGUUGAUGCAAUGAUGACAUGAGUUUAGCUUAAAAAUAGUAGUGAGGAUUCAUAUAGCCGACCCCUAAUUUGUUGAGACGUAGUUGUUGUUGUUGCAAAGUCUAGUUACUUACCAAAUAGGAAGCGAUCGAGACUCUGGUUAGGGAGGAAUUCGUAUACAAGAAGGCUUUCGGGUCCCGAGCAGCUGCAUCCCAAUAAUCUUAUCAAAUUUUUGUGCUGAAAGCUGCUGACUAUGUUAACCUCGUUAUAAAAAUCUGCAGCUCUGUGUAUGUUGUUGAAGAACAGCCUUUUGACAGCGAUCUCUCUCCCAUCUGCCAAAAUACCCUGCAACAAGUUGUGCCUCAGACUCGAUUUAGUUGCCAAUGCUUCUUGUACUACAUUCAGCCAUUGCGUACCUUAUAAACCGUUCCAAAUCCACCUUGUCCGAGCUUGUUGGCCUCAUCAAAUGACCCCGUGGCUUUGUCAAGUGUCGAAUACUUGAAGUUCAAGCUGAUGUCAUGAAGGAUCUUCACUAGUUUCUCAGCAUCAUUUGCACCUAACAAGUUCAAAUUUCCCGGGAAAAGCACGAGUAAGCCAUAACGCCUCAAGUUAGUACGGUUGUGUGCAUAUCGCAACAUAUGUGUUCAUCAUUGAUAUCCUAAUGACUUUUAUAAUUGAUUCUGGCACAAAAGAUUUACCUUUUCUCUUCUUCUGCAUUUGUUUGUUCUUCCAGACACCAAUACCAAUGAAAGCACCUACUCCCAAGACGAUAACGGAACUAACAACAAUGAAAAUGACUACAAUUUUUCCUGCAAUAUGGUGAUUUCAAAGUUAAAAAAUCUCCAUUUCUCAGCAAAAAUACGUUUUCAGUCGAUAAAUAACAGGCAAACAUGGACUAGAAAAGAGCAAAUAGUACCCCUUGAUGACGAGCCUUCACUUGUCGAAAUAGCGUUAAGAUAAUUUGUAUCAGAAUACCUCAUGAAACAUCCAGUGUACAGAGCUCUACCUUCUGACCAAGGUAAGCAUCCCAACAUAGAGGCAGACGCAUUCUGCAAACACGCUGCGCAGGAGUUAGCACUCAGCGUCUUCCAACAAUCAGCUAGUACAUAAGCUGUCUCAUUUGAAGGCCCUGGCAUGGACACUUGACAAGCCCAUAGGUACUAUAUGGGCUUGUGCCAGUAACUGCUACUCCAUAUCCUCUAGUUCUCAUUUGUUCACUUAAAAGUUCCAUUGUACCGAUAAAAUUUUGGAUGGGAACUGUUGUUUCGUUUCCAC